rnacentral:lncRNA from 1 species
UCUCUCCAAGACACCCAUGCUCUACUUCAUCACCUAUUUUAUCUUCAUCUCAGUAACCGUCCCCAUGUUUCUCUUUCUCUGAUAUUUACAAACUCCACAAAAUCCAACCCUUUCUUCUUUUAACUUUUGCCCAAUAUUAUGACUCAUUUGUUCAUCCUCUAGUAAACACAAUUAGCCCAUAAAUCAUUCCACAUGGCAGA